rnacentral:rRNA from 1 species
UACGAAGGGGGGCUAGCGUUGCUCGGAAUGACUGGGCGUAAAAGGGCGCGUAGGCGGCGAUCAAGGUCAGAUGUGAAAUUCCUGGGCUUAACCUGGGGGCUGCAUUUGAUACGUGGUGGCUUGAGUGCGGAAGAGGGUCGUGGAAUUCCCAGUGUAGAGGUGAAAUUCGUAGAUAUUCGCAAGAACACCAGUGGCGAAGGCGGCUUACUGGUCCGGUUCUGACGCUGAGGCGCGAAAGCGUGGGGAGCAAACAGG